GUCGAUCUCCUAGUGUUCACUGUAGGCCUGUUAUGGUUAUUUUGCAGUCAUAAGGCACGCGGUGAAUGCCAAGAGCAGACAA
rnacentral:pre_miRNA from 1 species